rnacentral:misc_RNA from 1 species
GAUGAAGAACGUAGCGAAAUGCGAUAAGUAGUGUGAAUUGCAGAAUUCAGUGAAUCAUCGAAUCUUUGAACGCACAUUGCGCCCUUUGGUAUUCCUUAGGGCAUGCCUGUUCGAGCGUCAUUUAAACCUUCAAGCUCAGCUUGGUGUUGGGUGACUGUCCGCUUCACCGCGGACUCGCCUCAAAAUUAUUGGCGGCCGGUACAUUGGCUUCGAGCGCAGCAGAAACGCGAACUCGGGCCCGUCGUAUUGGCUCCCAGAGGCUAUCUUCACAAUUUUGACCUCGGAUCAGGUAGGGAUACCCGCUGAACUUAAGCAUAUCAAUAAGCGGAGGA